rnacentral:rRNA from 1 species
UGCAGUCGACGGCAGCGCGGGGCAACCUGGCGGCGAGUGGCGAACGGGUGAGUAAUACAUCGGAACGUACCCAGAAGUGGGGGAUAACGUAGCGAAAGUUACGCUAAUACCGCAUACGUUCUACGGAAGAAAGUGGGGGANCUUCGGNCCUCAUGCUUUUGGAGCGGCCGAUGUCUGAUUAGCUAGUUGGUGAGGUAAAGGCUCACCAAGGCGACGAUCAGUAGCUGGUCUGAGAGGACGACCAGCCACACUGGGACUGAGACACGGCCCAGACUCCUACGGGAGGCAGCAGUGGGGAAUUUUGGACAAUGGGCGCAAGCCUGAUCCAGCAAUGCCGCGUGAGUGAAGAAGGCCUUCGGGUUGUAAAGCUCUUUUGUCAGGGAAGAAACGGCUGGGGNUAAUACCUCUGGCUAAUGACGGUACCUGAAGAAUAAGCACCGGCUAACUACGUGCCAGCAGCCGCGGUAAUACGUAGGGUGCGAGCGUUAAUCGGAAUUACUGGGCGUAAAGCGUGCGCAGGCGGUUUUGUAAGUCUGACGUGAAAUCCCCGAGCUUAACUUGGGAAUUGCGUUGGAGACUGCAAGGCUGGAGUCUGGCA